UGGAUUCCAGCCGCUGUUUAUUUUACAAUGUCUUCUGGUUGAAAUGCAGUCGGUGCAAUAGUCCAGCUUGCCAGGCUAAUCCUAUUCUUUGUUGUUAGGGGAGAAUUUCAUCACAAAUUCUUAAAGAUGUUUCAAGGCCUCCCAGAGUACUGGGGUUACAGACGUGCGCCUCCAUGCUGGGCUGGAAAUGUGCGUUUCUAACAAACUGUAAGAUGUUGCUGCUGCUUCAAAUCACCAUUUGAGAAGAAAGGACCUAGG
rnacentral:lncRNA from 1 species